rnacentral:lncRNA from 1 species
CUGAGACAGCCCAGGGGGCGGGCGUUUGAAAUCUGUGCCUUAGAGUAGACCCUGAAUAUCAUUUUUAUACCUUGGAGAACCAAUUACUUAAUGUCUUUUCCUUCCCCGACCCCCUCCCAGACUCCUUCAUUCCGGUACUGCGUGGACGGAAAGCCCCGGGUAGCCGACACCACGUCCGCAACUAGCGGGAGAGAGCGUGGAAAAGGAUUAUAUCAAACUGUUAAAAAUCCAACGGCUCCUGCUUCCGUCCUGCUCCUGAGCUAGACCCAACCAGCCUAGGGAGUUGGGCUACGGAAAGACUAGUAUUUUCACUUAAUUGGAUAUGAAGAAAGAACAAAUAUGUACGGGGGCAACCACGAUCUUUAUAAAGGUACCAUUCCUCAAAAACCUUAGACUUCAAAGCAAAGGUUGUAGUCGUAUUGUUGGUUAAAAUUUUUAUCUUUUUUUUUUUUUUUUUUAAGCGCUAAGUUCUAAUGGGAGGGGCGAUGUCAGUUUUAGCGUUUAUGACGUUGAAUGUUUAGAACGGUGGUCCCAGCUGUCAGAAGCGCGAGAUGGAAUUAAGAUGGCUACUCAAGCGUUAGGUGAAGUUUAAAUAAGACAACGAAAACCUGGGGGAAAUAAUCACCAAUGGUCUCCCACUGCUAUCAAAAGAAAGAAAAAAAAAAAGACCGAGAGCAGGUAUCUUUUUUUGCUUUGUUUGCAUUGCUAUUUUCAUCACAGAUCUUGGAGCAUAGUAAAUGCUCAAUAAGUCAUUGUUCAACAAAUGAAAAUUCAGCUCCCCCAAUUUAGUUUCAAAUGUCAAAUUUUACGUAAUUGGAUGCUUAAACCCUCUCUCCAUGGAUUCUUUCUUCAAAAAACUUUCAAAUGAAGAAAGAAAAAACCCUCCUCACCCAUAAAGUUCGAGAUAAAAAUCUUGACCCACCCCCACCCCAGCACGGGGGUAGGGUGGGGGGCAGGUUAACUCUCAUACUAGAGCAAAUGCUCCUAUACCAAACUAUUGAGGAAUAGAUGUCAGGAAACUCUGGAAAAAAUAAAAAAUCUUCAUUUUUAUCUUACUUGAAGGUAUUCUUUCACCAGUCUCACAUCCAGAAUCCUGAAAGACCUACUUAAAUUGCUUUUCCUUCACUCUUCAUAUCCUAUUCAUUUGCAAAUCUUACCAGUUUUUAAAAAAUUUACCCAACAUUUCAAUUCACUGCUACUGCCCUCAUCCAAGCAAGCCACCAUCAUCUUCCACUUGGAUGUGAUUACCUCCUAGUGGAUCUUCCUGCCUCCUCUUUAGCUACAAUUUUAUAUAUAGCAGCAAGAGUUAUGUUUUAAAAUUGUUAGAUAGCAUUAUUCUCCUGCAUAAAAAUCUAUUGCACUUAAAAAUUAAUAAUAUCUCCUGAGGCCUCGUGGAACCUAACUCUUGCAUACCUCCCUGAUUUCUGGUUCAUUCAGUCAAUUACAUACUAAGCUCAAGAUGUAGCCAAGUGGGCAUUUAUUUCACAAAACAAGGAAAGAUUCUUUAUUUUUGCACUAGAUUUUCUGUUAUCUCAGUCCCAAUAUAACAACUGCUAUUCUUCAACUUUCAGCUCAGAUGCCACCUCCUCGGUGAGGUUUUUCCUGACAUUUACAUCAACACCCCACCCCUCCAAUGAACACACUCUCAUAUAACCCUGUUUUACUUUUCAUAAAACCAAACACUUCCUGAAUUUAUUGCUUGUUGUAUUGCUUUGUUUUUUAUCUGAGAAGCUGUAUCGAAUAUCACAAAGGCAUGGAGAGUAAAGAUCUAGUCUAGGUUCUAAAUUCUAGUUCUGCCCUUUCCUAGUUUUGUAACCUUAGGCAAGUCAUUUUCCCUUUCUGUGCCCUCAAUUUCCUCAUGCAAAAAUGGGGAUAAUUCUAGUUCCUACCUCAUAAUGUUACUGAAAGGAUUAAGUAAAUUAAUACUUGUAAAGUGCUUAGAACUGUCUCAGCAAACAGUACUUGCUAAAUAAAUGUUAGCUAUUAUUAUUAUUAAUAUUAUUUUUUUAUUAUUAUUGUCUAUUUUCCUAUAUUAGAACAUAAGUUCCAGGAAAUCAGGAACCUUGUCUCUCUUGUUCACUGGUGUAUCCUCUGCAUAUAGAACAGUGCCUGGCACAUAAUAGGUGCUGAGUAAGUAUUUGUUGAAUGAAUGAAUGAAUGAAUCAUGUACUAUGAAAUAGGGGAAUGAAGUAACAAUGACAAGAUGGUGACACAGUUUUAGAAAAUACCCACACUUUUUAUAUUCUAACUGCCUUUAUCAACCCUGAGUGAGUAACCCCAAUCCAUUUAACUCAUAGCCUACUACCCAUUCUUUUAACUGCUAACUUUAAUUUAAUAAGCAUGCCAUGAUUUCAUUAAUACCAAUGUACAUUAUAAUCAAUCCAUUCACAAAAUUAAAAGAUUCUAACUAAAAUGGUCUAAAAGUAUUAAUAAGAAAAAUACUAAAAAAAUUUAUACAUAAAUGAUCUGAAAAUACUUGUCAGAAAAUUGAACUAUAAAACUUUGACAUAAGCAGUUUUGAAAAUAUUAAGAAAAAGAAACUAAAAGUUGGAAAUUUCAGUAAAAGCUUAAAAUUUACCCUAUCUGCUAAGUUAACCAGAAAAAAUCAUAUAACCUCUCUAUAAUUCUUAAUUUAAACCUGUUAUCACAGAAAUCUAGUUGGGUCCUUAAUUCUGCCUAACAAUCUUCCUCUAUUUUUCUAAUUGUUUAUUUUUCUACUCAAUAACAUUUCCCACAUUUCCCUCUUUCUUUAAGUCUACGUGCCUCUUCCAUUUCCUUUCCUUUCUCAUCUUCUUUCUUGAGAGUGGAAGAUCUUUUGAUUUAUCUGGUAAAAUAGAAACUCUUAAACAAGGACUCCUUAUCUUACCUUUGGGCAUAUCUAUCAAGUUGCCUUUGGCUAUGCCCAUAUCCUCAGCUUUCCAUGUGUAACUAGAAAGGAGGUGACCUCAAACCCCCUUGUGCUUUGGAUCCUAAUCCUCUGGACUUCUUAAUGACUGCUUUAUUUCUUGUUUCUCAUAAUCUACAAAGCCAUCCUUUUCAAAUCAUACUUAAUAGCUUUUGGACAUAGUAUGGUAUAUCUUAACUGUAAAAAUUCUCCAGAUCUGACAGAGAUAGUGUUUUAUAGUGUAAAAAGGGUGUUGUAUUUAAUAACUGUGAUUGCAAAACUGGCUAUUCUUAAGGCAGGAAGUAAUGGACGAAUUCUAGCUUCAAAGCUAAUACAAAAACAAUACCCCAAAGGGGAAAAAAGACCAUAAUAAUCUAAAAAGAAAAUUUUAAGAAAUUAUAGUACCUAGUGCUUGAAAAGACAUUUUAAUCAAGGUAGACCCUCUAAGAGCUUUAAAAUAUAUGAUUUUUAAAAAGUCAUGUAUAUGAUAAAAAUUAGUUUUAUAGCCAAUAUGCCAAAUACAAAGUCAAUUGCUAACUACUAGAUUAGCAGAUAAAUUUCAUGUCUAUAACAGAAAGGGUUGCUACGACUACUGUUAGAAUACUAAUAUAAUAUGUACACUAAUAUACAUAAUAUAAAAAUACAAACAACCCAGUUAAAAUUAACAAAGAUAUAAACAGGCUCUUCAGGAAGAAUAAUUCCAAAUCAACAAUAGACAAUAAACAUGAAAGACACUGAAUCUCCCAAUGAGGAAAAUGAACAUAACUAACAACAAAGUAUCACAUUGCAGCAUUAAUUAGCAACAGUUAAGCAAAUUUAAUAGAAUUGGAUAUGAUUGAAAGAAAAGGAUAUUAAGUCAGACAGUGGGGAGGUAUUGUUACCUUCAUAGUUAAAUUCAAAAGUGCCCCAGGCCCCCCCCCCCCAGGUGUUCUUUAGUCAUUUUGACUCUUUGACUCAUCAUAUUAAUUUGCCUUUCUAGACUAUGAUACUUGAACUCACACAGCUGCUUCUGCUUUGAGGCCCUCAAACUAGCUAUUUUCUCUGCCAAGAUAGUCUUCCUUCUCCUGUUGGUCUUUGCUCAAAUUAAACCAACCAACCCUGAUAUUUUGUUUAAAAUGACAACUGUACUUCCCUUCUGUCUCCUAAAAUCCUGUAUACUGUGUAUCUCCCUUACUCUGCUCUUCUUUUUCUACGCAGCAUGAACUUUCUUCCAUGAUCCUAUUUAAUUUAGUUAUGUUACAUUUGUUUCUUUCUCCACCUUUUCCAUUCUGAAUAUAAUUUCUACAAGGGCAAGGAUCUUUGUUUUGCUCAGUGAUAAAGUCCACGCAUCUAAACCAAUGCCUGACACCAAUAGUUGCCCAGUAAUAAUUUUCCACAUAAGAAGAUAAAUGAGUGAAUGGAUGGAUGGAUGAUUGAACAAGUUUUAACAGGAAAAAAUCAUGUUCUUAUGUAAAAAGUUACUGUCUUAAUCUUUUUAUAUUUUAAAGGAGAAAAAAGUAACUUACAUUCCACUAGUCUGAAAUCCUGAUUUGAAAUGAAGAUAUGACAAGACCCAGAGAAAUGAUUUCCAUUCAGGAGAGAAUCUCUAAGUGAAAAUUCAUGUGCUGAUCAGGCUCAAUAUAUACCAUCAAAAUUCUAAUUAAGUCAUUCCCUACCCCAAGUCCAAUCAAGGCUGAUUAAUUCUCUCUCCAUUUCUACCAAUUGAAUCACUUCCUCCCAAUUCUAGUAAAUCCUUUCAUAUACAAAGUUGAAAUUUGUGCUUAAAAAUGUUGGAUGUUUUUGAUAAGAAACAGAAAACCCAAUGGGCAUGAGUCAAAAUUGCAUUAAUGAAUAAUAUAAAUAAUGGAAUCUGCUUUGAAAUUUAAACCUAAUUCUAUACGAAAAGUUAGUGCUUUAAUUUGUUUUGAUAAGUAAGGAGGUUUUUAAAAAGUGGCUUGCCUUCUAUCCCCAAAUUCUGAUUUUAAAUGAAGACACUUAGGUUCAGAGGGGUGGUUUCCUGGAUAUAACCUCAGUGUGAAAUUUUCUUUGCUGAUAGUCCAGUUAGAUUACUGGAUAAUAUUAUAAUCUAACUACUACUUGUCUAAUUACAUGGUUAUUUUAUACUAAUUAGCAAGCCAGACAAUUAUUACUAAGACAAUUAAGAAUAAAACUUACUAAAAAUAGUUAAAAUAUCUAAACUAUAGAAAAUAAAAGAAUAGAAAAAUACAUGCCAGGCAAUAUAAACAAUAACAAGAAGACUUUAUGGAGUGAUAUUAAUUAUUAAAUUAUUCUUUUUAUUAAGUAACAUUAAUAGGGACAAAGAUGUGCAUCUUAUUAUAUUACAAAGAAAAAUCCACUAGGAAAUAAUGUAAUCAUGAACAUGUAUGCAACUAACCACAUAGCUGGAAAAGUGUGAAGCAAAAAGAAUUUCAAGGAAAAGCUGACAAAUCUGCAAUCAUGGUGGAAAUCUUUUUAUAACAUAAAUUGUUCUCAUCUUGGUAGAUCAUGCAGACUAACAAUAUUGAUCUAAUAUAUAUGUUAUAUGUGUGUGAAUAUAUGUGUAAUAUAUGUGUAUGCUUAUUGUAUUUAUAUAUGUAUAUAAAAUCUUAUAACAAAAACAGAAUACACAUUAUUUUCAAUAAACAUUGAAUAUUUUUUCCAAAUUAAUUAAGUAUAAAGCCCCAAAAUCAAUUUCAAUAAAUGCCUGUGUGUGCAUUUCUAAAUUGUGUUAGUCUUGCCAAUUUUUGAACUUUAUAAAUAUUUCAAAUGUUUAUAUAAAUUAAUUAUAUGUACUCUUUAGUGUUUUGCUUUUUUUCUCCCACUUAAUGU